rnacentral:misc_RNA from 1 species
CGCACAUUGCGCCCACUAGUAUUCUGGUGGGCAUGCCUGUUCGAGCGUCAUUUCAACCCUCAAGCCUGGCUUGGUGUUGGGGCUCUGCGUCUGCAGUCCCUUAAAUCCAGUGGCGGACACGCUAGGUCUCCGAGCGCAGUAGUUUCUUCUCGCUCAGGGCGUCCGGCGUGGGCUUGCCUCGCACCCAUCUUUUACAAGGUUGACCUCGGAUCAGGUAGGAAUACCCGCUGAACUUAA